rnacentral:rRNA from 1 species
UACGUAGGUGACCAGCGUUGUCCGGAUUCAUUGGGCGUAAAGGGUGCGUAGGCGGCGCGGUAAGUCGGGUGUGAAAUCUCGGAGCUUAACUCCGAAACUGCAUUCGAUACUGCCGUGCUUGAGGACUGGAGAGGAGACUGGAAUUUACGGUGUAGCGGUGAAAUGCGUAGAUAUCGUAAGGAAGACCAGUGGCGAAGGCGGGUCUCUGGACAGUUCCUGACGCUGAGGCACGAAGGCCAGGGGAGCAAACGGG